GUCCAGUUCAAAAGCAGGUCUGAUUUCCUGAAGCAAGCACAAGCCCUUCCUUCUGAGAUCCAGUGUCAAGAGUGAGCGGGAUGAGGAUGGGACUCCGAGCACAGCUAGCCAAGCCCAUUCUAAUCUAAUGGAAAUCUGAUAUACAGUCCAGACAUUCCUAAGUGACAAAUUUCUAUACUCAAACUGCUUGCUGCCAUCCAUAUAGCAUGAAGUGAUUUGGCUUUCCUGAUUCUGCAGUCAGUGCGUGGCCUCAGCUCCAUCUCACUGUGCCCCUUCCCGAGCAGGAAGCCUGCCAGAUGGCUGCAGGACCUGAUCUCACCUCCAGGCUGCUUCACAGAACUGACGCUGUCUUACGAGAUUUUAUCCAAGCUUGAAAGCUUCUUAUUUCUUCCAUCAGUCUCAUAAACAUUUCCAUCCCUGAUUAGAAUUCUACUCUCCAAAAAAUAUCUCAAAACGCUUCACAGACCCACAGGUUGUGUGUUUAUCACCUACUGCCGGGCUCAGUUAUACCAGCACAAACCCCACACCAUUGCAGUGAACUGGGAUUGAACUAACCAGGAUUUACACUGACGAAGCUCAACGUGUUAUUUAAGCCCUUUUACACAAGGCUGCCAGGAGAUGCUCCCUCUCCCCACUAUAAUAUGCUGCACAUUAAGAAAAUGGAAACACCCAGUGGGCUUCUUAUAGAGAAAUAAAGAAAAAAAAAAGGGAAAACAAAGUCAUGGGGCAAACAGAUUUCGUGUGAAAAGCAAGUAUAGAGUGGAUCUGUUUUCCUGCCAAGUGUCAAUAUUAAUGGUAACAAAGUGAGCUCUUGUUUUUGGUUGCCAUGGCCAGGAACACACAAUCCUGUAAACAGCCUAUGAGGAUUCUCAUUCCCUCUGCUUUGAAUCAGACUAUACAUUAUGCAAAGGACAUAUGAUACAGUAGCAGAAAGCCCUAAGAACUGAGUGAGGUCCAAACCAGCAAUGCAAUGUAGUCUUUCAGAAGUUUCAAGGUAGAUCUUG